GUUAGAACUUAGAAGCUUCAAGAACUGAAUUGUAUGUGCAGCAGAAGAUCCAAGAGUUGUGUGCGGUUGACGACUGAAUCAGAGUGUUAAUGAGAUCACUUAAGAAAGACUUGUACAAGAGAGAAAGGAAAGUGAGGUGGAGGCUGCUUGGUGGGGAUAAUGAAGGAGAGAGACACUAUGCAAUGAAGACCCGAGUCAAAGCGAAAGGUGGAGAAAUGUUGCUCUCAAAGUGAAUUUUGGCACCAACGGUAACCAAUCAAUGUGGAAGACAUUGUUGAUCGGCGAUCUUCGAGUGCAAGGGCUUGCAAGGAGCAUCGAGCAUCAUCGCGACGCCAUUGACGAGGUAGCAUUCGGCGAAAUUUGAUGGAGUUUCUGUAGCACAAGAAUCAAAGGAGAUGGCAGCGAGGAGCGACGUGUACGCGUGACUUGGAGCUUUCCAUGGCGACGCAUGCGCGUGACUGACGCGUACGCGUGAUUUGAAUAUUUGCACAGCGACGCGUGCGCAUGAUCGACGCAUUUGCGUGACUCGGGAAAAAGACCAUCGACGUGUACGCGUGACUGACGCGUACGCGUGACAUGUGCCACCUGCAGAAAAUGCAGAAAAAUGCUGGGGGCGAUUUCUGGGAUGUUUUGACCCAGUUUUCAGCCCAGAAAACACAUAUUAGAAGCUGCAGAAUGGAUAAAACGAGUGGUUUCCAUGUUACAAGACGCGGAGUAGUUAGUUAAUUCUGAUUUAAAUUCAAAUUUGAUUUUAAAAUAGGAAAAGAUGUUAUCUUAAUUUUAGAUAUUAGAUUUCAAAUUAAUUAGGAUUAGUUAUAAAAAAGGGGAGACUUCUCUUCUAUGGAGGUUCCGAGGGGGAUUCCAUUAGAGAAUUCUAUACAAAUUUACAUUCCGCAUACCAUGAGCAACUAAUCCUCCAUUGUUAA